rnacentral:lncRNA from 1 species
AUGUACAAUAAAAAAGUUCCUGUGCAAAACUAAACUUGUAGUUAGGCACUGGUUUGGUAUAUAAAAAAAAGUAAUUUUCAUGCUGUGCAGGGCCCCACCACCCCUCUCGAAUCAAUGUAAAUGGUACGACCCGCAGGUCAGGUGCUUCUGCUGCGGACCCGCGGAGAAAUUGAAUCAGUUAAUGAGACAGGAGCUGGAGUUAGGCGUGAUAUGAACUAGGAAGACAGGGGAAGAGUCAUGUCUAUCAUUAAGAAAGGAAAAUCGGGGCUCAAAAACGAAAAGAAAAGAAUAUUAAAGAGAGAAAGGCAAAUGAGGGCAAGCAGUUGCUCACUCAGAUUUUUGAAAAGAAAGGGCGUGAGAAGCAGACGGAGGCGGAGCUGGGAGCUCAACACACUGCCACUCCUCCCCAGAGUCAGAAGUUUACAUGAAAACACUGUAUAUUUCCCUCCAUUGUCAAAAUCUAACACCCGCGAAAACACAGAUCGUUAGCGCCUAUUUUACCGCAUUGUUAUGCAAAUUAGUUCGCGCACGCUCUUACAUUAAGUACAGGAUUGUUCUCAGUUUAAUGCACAUCUUAAUGAUUGAAAAAGACUUACAGUAUUUUAAAACGUAAUUCAAAGACUGAAUGUCUAGUUUGGCGGUUAGUGUACCCUGUGAUUCUAUAGUCUGCAUUUAUUUUAAACAGACAAAUAAUCAGCAAUUAACUUGUACUUAGCCUACACUUUAAAAAAGGUAUUGUGACAAUAAAGUUUUUAUUUGUACAGUAGAUGCUGACUGCAAAUUUUUCAACAAUGAUUUCGUUAACAGCAUUCAUUUUGAAGCAGGUAAUGAUUUAAACGGUGGUUAAAUAAAUUAUUUAUUUAGCAUACAACAUUUUACAUGGAAACAGUAAUGCUAGUAACGUUAAACAUAUUUGCGCGAUCUUGGAGAGUCUGAAAUAGAUGUUGCUCAAUCAGGACAGUAAAUAUAUACACAUCAUAAUUUAUUCAGAGAAAUAACUGACUACAUACAGUACGGACAUGAAACUAAAACCUAAACGGUUUAAAUAUAUUGCUUAUCCUGCCCCAACCCCCUUUUUUUUCAGAGGGAUCAAACUGUAACACUGUGUGUCCCAAACAGACAUGACGCGAUAAAAGGUAUGCCUAUCUUUUCCAUGUAGUUUUUGUUCUAACCACCCGUGACAGCAAC